rnacentral:sRNA from 2 species
GGAAAUUGCUUCUAGGGUUCCGAUUUAAGCGUGCUUAAAUGUCAGGUCCGAGAGGAGCAAGCUAGUCUUAAAUGAGCGGAUCAAAAAUUUUUUCCGUCUAAGCUGGCUACACGGCGGGAUAAAAGCCCGGGAGAC